rnacentral:rRNA from 1 species
UGGGGAAUCUUGGACAAUGGGCGCAAGCCUGAUCCAGCCAUGCCGCGUGAGUGAAGAAGGCCUUCGGGUUGUAAAGCUCUUUUACCAGGGACGAUAAUGACGGUACCUGGAGAAUAAGCCCCGGCAAACUUCGUGCCAGCAGCCGCGGUAAUACGAAGGGGGCUAGCGUUGUUCGGAAUUACUGGGCGUAAAGCGCACGUAGGCGGAUUGUUAAGUCAGAGGUGAAAUCCCGGGCUCAACCUGGGAACGGCAUUUGAAACGGGCGGGCUGGAGUUGGGUAGAGGGGAGCGGAAUUCCGGGUGUAGCGGUGAAAUGCGUAGAUAUCCGGAGGAACACCAGUGGCGAAGGCGGCUCCCUGGACCCAAACUGACGCUGAGGCACGAAAGCGUGGGUAGCAAACAGGAUUAGAUACCCAAGUAGUCCCUGAGCGGGCUGGCAAGGCGCAU